rnacentral:rRNA from 1 species
CAACUUUCAGCAGUGGAUGUCUAGGCUCGCACAUCGAUGAAGAACGCUGCGAACUGCGAUACGUAAUGCGAAUUGCAGGAUUCAGUGAGUCAUCGAAAUUUUGAACGCAUAUUGCACUUCCGGGUCAGUCCUGGGAGUAUGCCUGUAUCAGUGUCCGUA